GAGUUCUUAAAAAAGGAAGCUAAC
rnacentral:piRNA from 1 species